GACGAACGCUGGCGGCGUGCUUAACACAUGCAAGUCGAACGGAAAGGCCCUGCUUUUGUGGGGUGCUCGAGUGGCGAACGGGUGAGUAACACGUGAGUAACCUGCCCUUGACUUUGGGAUAACUUCAGGAAACUGGGGCUAAUACCGGAUAGGAGCUCCUGCUGCAUGGUGGGGGUUGGAAAGUUUCGGCGGUUGGGGAUGGACUCGCGGCUUAUCAGCUUGUUGGUGGGGUAGUGGCUUACCAAGGCUUUGACGGGUAGCCGGCCUGAGAGGGUGACCGGCAGCAUGGGGCCUGAGCUACGCCCACACCGCCCACGGAAGACAGGAGGGGGCAUUAUUGAACACGGGGCGGAAGCCGGAGGCCGCCCCCCCGGGGGAGGAUGGACGCCCUCCGGUUUUAAACCCCCUUGCGCAUGCGCCGGGGCGGGAGUCAGGGCAGGGGGAAAAGAGGCACCGCCUACCCACGAC
rnacentral:rRNA from 1 species